GUCUGUGUUUGCAGAGGUCAUUAUGAAUAACGUCUUGCUGAAGCUGCAGUCAGAGAUAAGAGGUUUAUAUGUGGGAUUUCUAAGUAAGGACUCUAUCAGUGACAACUAUAUAUUACAAAUGCUGCAGUGCACUUUUGCUCUUGAGCAAAAUUUGUGUGGAUUUUCUCAAAAAAGGGCUAAUACCUCCACUGAAAACCAGCUCCCACAGUGCUUCCUUGCUCCAUGCUGCAACACCCCACCAGUCUGAAACUGGAGGAGAAUCAUGCUCGUUGUUG
rnacentral:lncRNA from 1 species